GGGCGCAAGCCUGAUGCAGCCAUGCCGCGUGUGUGAAGAAGGCCUUCGGGUUGUAAAGCACUUUCAGUCAGGAGGAAAGGUUAGUAGUUAAUACCUGCUAGCUGUGACGUUACUGACAGAAGAAGCACCGGCUAACUCCGUGCCAGCAGCCGCGGUAAUACGGAGGGUGCGAGCGUUAAUCGGAAUUACUGGGCGUAAAGCGUACGCAGGCGGUUUGUUAAGCGAGAUGUGAAAGCCCCGGGCUCAACCUGGGAACUGCAUUUCGAACUGGCAAACUAGAGUGUGAUAGAGGGUGGUAGAAUUUCAGGUGUAGCGGUGAAAUGCGUAGAGAUCUGAAGGAAUACCGAUGGCGAAGGCAGCCACCUGGGUCAACACUGACGCUCAUGUACGAAAGCGUGGGGAGCAAACGGGAUUAGAUACCCCGGUAGUCCACGCCGUAAACGAUGUCUACUAGAAGCUCGGAGCCUCGGUUCUGUUUUUCAAAGCUAACGCAUUAAGUAGACCGCCUGGGGAGUACGGCCGCAAGGUUAAAACUCAAAUGAAUUGACGGGGGCCCGCACAAGCGGUGGAGCAUGUGGUUUAAUUCGAUGCAACGCGAAGAACCUUACCUACACUUGACAUACAGAGAACUUACCAGAGAUGGUUUGGUGCCUUCGGGAACUCUGAUACAGGUGCUGCAUGGCUGUCGUCAGCUCGUGUUGUGAGAUGUUGGGUUAAGUCCCGCAACGAGCGCAACCCCUAUCCUUAGUUGCUAGCAGGUAAUGCUGAGAACUCUAAGGAGACUGCCGGU
rnacentral:rRNA from 1 species